rnacentral:rRNA from 1 species
UACGUAGGGGGCAAGCGUUGUCCGGAAUCAUUGGGCGUAAAGAGCGUGUAGGCGGUCCGAUAAGUCCGCUCUGAAAGCCCGGGGCUCAACCCCGGGAGGCGGGCGGAUACUGUCGGGCUAGAGUCCGGAAGAGGAGUGUGGAAUUCCUGGUGUAGCGGUGAAAUGCGCAGAUAUCAGGAGGAACACCGGUGGCGAAGGCGGGUCUCUGGGCCGGUACUGACGCUGAGGAGCGAAAGCGUGGGUAGCAAACAGG